rnacentral:siRNA from 1 species
GAAGGAAUGACCACGUGUGGUUGG